AGAGAGAGUAUAUAGAAUAGACUCAGUAAAGUGGAAUUAAAAAUGAAAUGAGCAACAGCAACCCUAACAAAUAUAUCUGCCAGGCAUAUAAGUUGCUGUCCUUGUUCUACUACCCUUGUAACAAAAUAAUGUUUUGUCCUCUUGGGUUGCACUAAAUCCAGCAACUCAUCUACUUUUUGACCACUUUAUAUUACAGCAAACCAUAUUUUUAAUAUUUUUUCAACCUUUUUUGACAUUCAGCAAAAUGCAAGUAUUUGUAUAACUUUCAAAGUGGACAGCAUGAUAUAUAGAUUUCACAUACUUAAUCAUAUAAACUGCUUUUAGACCAAACGCAUCAAUAUUUUUUAUUAUCUUUUUUAACAGUGCAGUUUCAAUUUUACAUGCAUAUAAAUACCUCAGUGAUAUUGUCAAGCAUGAGCAUGUUAGGUUGAAAACUGGAUCAUUUUCAUUAACUUAUCAUUUACUUAUGUGCUAUCUAUUAUUCUACUCUCAAAGGCUGCAUUAUGUUUUUUUCUGUCUUGAAGUAUAUAAAAUUUAAUAUCCUUGUAACUUAAGUGCCAUUUGUUAUUGAGUUAUUAUUUUACUAUUUUAUAUCUAAUCAUUAGGAUCUAUUUAUUAUUUGCACACGACCUAUAUUUAUUAUUCUUUCUUUUUAAGGUUUAUAUAUUAAAAAGAUUGACAGAGUGAUUAUUUAUUAUCUACUUAUGAAUAUUUUUUUAUUAUAUUCGUUAUUUAUUAUCUAAAUAUUUUUACCUGUUAACAUUAACACAUUACGAAUCUUAAAUGUGAAUAACUAUCUUAAUUUACUAUCUAAUUCAAAUUAGUUAUUAUCUCAUUAUUAUCUAUUUACUAUUGGCACAUGACACAUCUGUACUGAAAUAUUAUAUGGUUUUUCUCUUCAUGGUGUACAUUAUUCAAAACAUAUUAAUUUAUAUAUUUGUACCUAUAUUUAAGCAAUUGUAUUUCUUAUCUUAUAACUUAAUAAAACUUGUCUAUUUGCAUGUUGCUUUCCCUUUUUCUGAAAACUACGGCUCCGCUUUUAGACAGUGCCUAAAUCUAUCUAGUAUGAUGGACAGCCACACUGCUCUCAACUUGGAUGAGGAUAUUCUUGGUGGCAUAUUCAGGAAUCAGUUUCCGCUAAGUACUUGGAAUAUCCCGGCUAAACAAAAUCUCAAAAGAAGUUCUGUGGCGUUGAACUGAACAAAAAGGUUUGAAGUUGUUAUCCGUGGAAGAGAGUGGCAUUGGAUAGGACACACCUUCAGGAAAAAAAGAGUGUUUUUUUUUUUGCAAGAAUUGGAGAGUGGACUAAGGACUAUAACGCUACACACAACUACUAGAGAGUUAAGCUUUCGCGCGAAUUGGUGGCCUGGUUCUGCCUCUUCUCGCGGGACAAGGGUCUUCCCUAGAUGCUGCCCUUGAGGCCUCCAAAAAUCAAUGUAAAAGGUAAGUAGUUUAAGGAAUAUAAUGCACAAGCUAAUCUGUUGUGAUACAUUAAAAAGAUAUGAGUAUCACCAUCUAAAAUAAGACGUAUCUUUUAACUCUAACGCUUUCAGUCCCCAUAAAAAGAGGUUAAAACUGGAUCAAUUGCAACUUUCUUAAUUUAGAGUAACACCUUUGCUGAAUGCAAAAAUUUCCGACAAAUAAUGCAGAUAAAAAUGCAUCGGAUAAUAGCCGAAUUAAGGUAAUUGGACAAAAGUCUUACAUCUGUAUAAAUUGCAGAGGUAAAAUAACAGUAACAGAAAAGUCUGACAGUCAGUUUUUAGUUUGCACGCAAUGCUAAUAAAAAAAACAGUCUUCUCCGUCAGCGAAUCUCGGUAUUGCAGAGGAUGGCCAAAAUUGGUCGAUUUUAGAUAGUGAAUGCUUGCAAGGCGAUUACGACUUGUUGGAGGGACUUCUGGCUGUGUAACACGUAAGACAUGACCGAAACAACAACUGCAUGAUACAACUUGAAUAACGAAAGGAAUGGUGAACAAGAGAACAGCAAAAAUGUAAAGAAAGAGUGCUUGAGCUGGAGGGAUACAGCAAAAGUUCAAUCAACGAUUCUUUAAUAUUCCCGAAGAAAAAGGUGAAAUUGGUAUCACAAAGUUAGAGAACAUAGUGUCAACCAAUCUUGGUCUCGAGGCGACUGUGGAGAACGCAAGCACACAAGGAAAAUCACUAGAAAUAAGCCAAACCGGCCAAUUUUUGCUAAAUUUGUCUAUCGGCCUGAAGUUAGGCUUGUCACGAGGAGGAGUAACGAGUCAAAGACAGGAGCAUUUGAUUUAAUAAUGAAGGAUUGUUUGAAGGAAUAGCUACUCCAAGAGAAAAUGAAGCAGGCUUACGUUGCUAGUAAGAGACCUCGGUCACUUGUAUAUUGAUGGGAUGGGGUGGGGUUAGCAAGCUUUUAUUCAUUAUGAGUAUUUUGAUCAAUGAGUAAUAAUAAAGUCGAGUGACCCUGACAUGAAAUUGCAAGGCUUAUGAUUAUGGCUAUUUCACUCCCACUGAGAAUUGUGAUCGGUUCUCGGUAUCAAUUCUAAAAGUAUUAAUGCUCACUUGAACGAUUUAAUUAAUUUACUAUCGAGAAUUGUUGUAUAAAGAAAAAUACACAUUUUUACCAGGCACGACAGGCCUGUUUAGAGACAGCUUUUUUUGUCUCUUUUCAGGUGCAAUUGUACAAGGAACGUUCGCCUAUUUAUGUUGAAUUUUCGUACAUGGCGGCAUGCGUAUGCGAGUUUAUUACGUUUGUUUAAUGAGCAUUCACUUGAACGUCAUAAUAUAAAAUAUUUCUCUGUUAUGCAGAGGUUGUACCUUUUGGAUCUAUUGUGUAUGCAGGGGCACGUGCCAGGACGCUGCUCCAGUAGGGAUCAAGUAGGGAUUUGUAGCGUCUUUAAGCGCCCAAAUGUGUUUUCUUAAUGCUGUUGCUUGUUUAUUUCCUUCGUUUUUGAAAGACGUGGUGUGGCUGUUGUACCUGGUUUUAAAACUAUCAGCGAUGGGUCCCAUAUAUAUGACAUUUUUAGGCCGUUGGCGGAGAAGACCUUGCAAAUCUGUUGGACAUACUGAGAUGUUGUAGCCCUUGAAUAAAUGUCCUAAAUAGAAGAAUGAUCCUGUAAGCCCAAAUGAAUGAAAAUCGAAGCGAAAAGAUUUAUUUACAGUUCAGCGUUGUUUCUAUCGUUGUGACAAGCACCGUGAUAUAAUUCAACGACUUUCCGGGCGAUUUAUUCCGAUUUAUUUAUUGAGGAUGAUACUGAUUUUUAUUAUGCUUUUUUAAACCUGAAUGUUUCAUCUAGAGACCAAGAACGGCUAAAAACCCUAUAUUUUAAUUCUUUCUCUGAUGACUCUGACUCAUGGCAACUCUUGCUCGACUUUGGUAUGGACUCAGAUGCUUACUUUCUCUACGACAAUUCAAAGGUUCUCUAAAAAUGCCUUUAUUUAACUCCCAAUAAAUUCAACCUGGUCCAGCCUACUACAUCUGGAUCUUUUUCAAUAUUACAUGUUAACAUUCGUAACCAUAAAAAAACACUUUGCAGACCUUUCUGAAUUUUUAUCAACCUAUCUGUCGAGUCAUUUAACCAAGUUUCAGAGAUAGCAAUGCCAUGAAAAUUGGAGAUAAGCCUCCUGACUCUUCUGUUGCUGAUUUCAACUCAACUUUUUCCAAUGUUCUCUCAAAAAUCAGUUUUGAAGGCAAAUCAUCUUAUCUGGCGGGCGACUUUAACAUCAGUCUUCUCAAUUCUUCUUCCCAUUAAGUACUGAAAAGUUUAACUCCUUGUCUGAAAUUGACUGGUCUUUCCUUUAUGAAUUAGACUCAGUAAAUGACUGCCAUAAUGCUUUUGCUGACCAUAUUACCCCAAUCUACAAGAAAUGUUUCCCUCUAAAAGCCAUCAACUCCCAUACCCGUCCUUUCCAACCUUGGUUUUCCAAUUCCUUAUCUGUCUCAUGUAAAAGAAAGAAUUACUGUCCUCAAAAACACCCAAGAAAAGGCGCUUGUAAAAAGACCUACACUUCUAGAAAGGGAUCUUGUCGAUCGAUUUCGUAUUUCUGUUUCAACUACAUCUAACAUUUUCAGGAUUUUGUUUUUGAAGAAAUAACUGUCGGGGUUAGAUUUAAGGAACUCUAUCCUCUAUCUAUUGCACAGAAAUCAACAUGGAAUCUCCCUCAAGUUUGACAAAAAGUCUAUGAGUUAAUCGUCCUACAAAUACAUUCUAUUGCACAGAAAUCAACAUGGAAUCUCCCUCAAGUUUGACGAAAAGUCUAUGAGUUAAUCGUCCUACAAAUCCACACCACCAUAAAGUCUAUUGUUGCUAUUACACCAAAUAAAGCUGUCUUAGUGAGAUAUACAGUUGGGCUCUUAGUGAUCCAGAUAUUUUCGUCAAAAUCAGAAUUCCUCACAUUAGUGCAAAAAGAAAAUGUCAUCAUGGCAGAUAAAGGAUUACUUAUCCAAGAUCAGUUUGCUUCUGUUAGUGCAAGGCUAGAUAAUAAAUAAUAAUAUCUACAUUUAUAGAGCGCCUAAUCAAUAGUUGCCUUAGGCGCUUUACAUUUAUAUAAUAAUAUAUAUCGAUAAAAAAAUAUUACACAAUCAAAAUCAUUCAAACAAUACAUUGUGUCUAAAAAAUGUUACAUUUCUAAAAAUAGAUAUGAUGAUUUAAAAUUAUAUAUAAAACUGUACUAUUAACAGUUAUUAAAGAAGGGAAUUGCAGUAGUCAAGUUUUGAACUGAUAAGGGCAUGUAUGAGUAUUUUUGUGGAAUUCUUGUCGAGGUACUUCCUAAUCUUGCCAAUAUUUCCGAGGCGGAAUCUUGCAGAUUUACACACCAUUGCGAGAUGAUCAUCAAAAGAAAGAUGGUUAUCGAGAAUAACUCCAAGAUUCCGUUCAGCAGGGGCAGGUUUGACGAUUUCGUCAACCACCUUUACAUGUUCGAGACUUGGGGUGGGACAGAACUUGCACCCUCCAAGCAAGCAUUGAUCUCGUGAACACAACAUUCAACUUUAGUUUAAGCCAUCAAAAGUCCAUCUUGUGAAUUACCUCGAAAAGAAACAUAAAGAUGUAAAUCAUGCAUGAAGAUGGAAUGGAAUGCCAUCUCGUGCUAUGAUCUGAGCAAUGGGCAAAGUAUAGGCAAGAUAGAUUAGCGGCCUAUGGACAGAUCGCUGAGGGACACCUCGUUCCAGGCUACGCAAAGAUGACUUACAGUCUUCAACGGGUACAUACUGUUUGUGGGAUGUAAGAUAUGAGCGAAACCAAGCAAGAACAUUACCAGUCAGGCCAUAACUCUAUGAGAGACGUGAAAGCAGAAGGGAAUCCUCAACAGUAUCAGAUGCCGGCGGUAAGUCAAGCAGUAGCAUCAAUACCGAGUUCACAACAUCUAUGGUACAUAAGAUAUUAUUCUGCACCUUGAUAAGAGCUGUCUCCGUGGAAUGGAAUUUGUUAUAAGCAGAUUGAAGGGAAAUUACUUCUGGAAGGAAGGAGUGUACUAAAGCAUCCCUUUAAAAGGAAAGCUGGUAAAGGAUCAAGAUUACACGAUAUAGGCUUGUAUUUGUGCUUUGCGAACAAGAAGGAUGAAACAGGAAGUUAAGAUUUUUUAAGAUAAGUUGAACAACAAACCCAAGUACUCUCAAGAUCAAGCUGUGUUCGCUAGGAAUUUUGGGAAGGGGGCAAAGUGGCUACCAAGUUUAAUAGUUGGGACAUUCAGCCCCCGAAAUUUUGAUGUACAAGUUGGUGAUGUAAUAUGGAAGAGACGUGAGGAACAAUUACGCCCUAGGUAUAUUCCUUCCAAUAAGUUAGCUCCAAAGCCGUUGUAUCAAACAGCACUGGGCAAUACUUACCGGAAGCCCAAUGGUUUUCCUACAGAGAUUAGUCAAGAAGGUGAAAGUACCACUGGACGAAAAAACGGAUUUACGCAACUUUGCCCAUCGCGCAAAUAUGAUGUAAAUAUCAGGCACUAUAUUUGGUGCCUGAUUUGCUUUGGUAGUAAACAUGUAUACAAAUUUUAUAUUUGCAUGUUGUGCAAACACUUUUCAAAGAUCAACUUUGAAUAAUUUGCUUGGAUGGUAAAUUUGUAUGUAAAUUUCAUGUUUGUAUUUUGUGCAAAUAACAUUUCAAAGAUCAACUUUGACUGAUUUGCUUGGAUUGUAAAUUUUUAUGUAAAUUUCAUGUUUUUAUUUUGUGCAAAUACAGUUCAAAGAUCAACUUUGAAUAAUUUGCUUGGGUGGUAAAUUUGUAUGUAAAUUUCAUGUUUGUAUUUUGUGCAAAUACAGUUCAAAGAUCAAAUUUAGAUUUGCAUGGAUUUACACUCACUAGAUUAUCUUUACUUAUAUCUGCAAGGUGUGUUGUAAUAUCACUUAGUGUUUGACGGUGACAGUCGUGUGCGACAAAUUUUUUUGUUGUCGCUUUUAGUAGGCCAAACAUCUAAAAUCAUCAUCAAGAUACUAGUGAAAAUCGUCGAGUUUUUUUUGUGCGUUUCUUAUACGCGGGUUUGAUGGAAAAAAGGCGAGAGCGACCAGAUGGCGGUGUAAUAUAUAGGUUAUUUACCGGCUGGGAGGUCCGGCCUCGGUCAGCAUUUCCCAGACCUCUGUCACAGUUUUUCUCUAUUCGGACCGACCUCAAGUCGGUAAAUAACUUAUUUAUUUUACCCUUAAAACAUUGUUCGGAAAUCCUGCAGUCAACAUAUUUUAGUAUCUUGCGUCACAGUCACGUGGUUUCUCUGUAUGUCGCUUACAUACAGUAAAACCACGUGACACUUGUAUUCUACUCACAAGAUGGCGUCCUCCAUGAAGCUGGAGUCCGAUUUUAGAGCAGAGAAAGCUGAAUGGUAAGCAUUGGCCAUGUAAUCUUACUACCACCAUUUUUUAUCUUAAUUAUAUAGACAUACACAGAAACCAGACAAAAUCGCUUCAAAUGAUUCAUCAGAAUUCAUCAUUCGAGGUCCCGAAUGUAGUUUCCUAUAUUAUAAUUUUACCGUUUGUGUAUAUAAGCUUAUUACCUAGCAAAACACUGGUGUCUAUAUUAUAAAUAAUUAUGAGAUAUAGGUUUAGACACUACAAUCAAUUGCUUUUAUGUUAUGCUACAAUUAUUAUUUAAUUAUCCAUCUUAAUUGUGAUAAUUUUAUGUCAUACUCAGGCUAAAACACAGAUGGAAGGCUUGGAAAAUUCAAAGUCAUGGAAGACAAAGUGUGAUGAUGUCUUUAAACUUCUCAAGUAUAAAUACCACACUAUAAACAAAGUAGAAGCAGGCUCAUGUUAGGCAGGUCUAUAAAGAGCUCAGCCAUGACGACGAAGAUGGAACUGAUCAGCAUAUGACCUGGGAUUUCAGCAAAACUUAUGAUGAUGACUUCAACAAAGAAGUUGGUCGUGGCAUAUUUGCGGGAGUGCGCAGUACGGAUAGCAAGUCAUCGUCAACUGCCAUAAAAGCUGCAAUGCAUGUCCAUUUCAGAACUAAAAAGAGGGGGCAUGUCACAAAAGCAAAUGACAGUUAUGAUGCCACCUUAAACAGGCCGAGAAAGCGCAGCCGGCUUAACACAAAAACAACGCUACGAAAAAAGACCUUGAGGGAAAGCUCCAGCAUCAACGAGGAGAGAAAAGGGAAAUACUUUGAAACCAUGUCCGUGGACUAUAUGUCCUCGGAGCACACAAGGUCUGAUGGAGAAAAUGAGGGGUCUGACGAGGAAGCACCUAAACUGCUUUACAAGCAUAAGCUUCCAUGGAGGAGUGAGAAGGCCGAUUCAUUGAUGGCCUAAAAAGUUAGGAAGGGCAGGGGCCAGAGAAGCACAAACAUGAUGUACAGGAGGAAAGAUGGUGCUAAUUCGAAAAGAACUGCACCAAUUGAUGCUCCCGAUUGGGCUGUGAAGCAUCAGCUUUAGGUUGUCUACAUGCAAGCUAUUCUUUUGGAAUUAGCACCAUCUUCUCUAUUUUGCUAUGAAUGAUGGACUUGUGCGUUGACACAAAAAAUGUUAUUGUUAAAGCAUAUAGUGAUCGACUUGAUUUACAAAUUCACAACGAUUUUUAUUACAACAAGUUUAUGAGUAUUCAGAUUUACUAUUGAACUAUUUUCCUCGAAAAACAGUAGAUGAGGCUACAAUUUAUUAUAUAAAGGAGAUGUGAUUUAUUUAGAAUAUUGAAAGAAUAAUAUUCAAAGAAUUAUUACUUUGACCAAGAGCUGAUAAAAUAAUGUUUAUAGUAAUUUAUUGAUUUUGAAAUAUACACUUAUUGGACCAAACCAAAUGUAUAAAUACCGAUUAUAUUUUACUGAUUACAGUAAAUAAAUACACGAAAUAAAUGAUUUCAGUAGAUAUGCUUGUUGGUCUCUCUGUAUAUAUUUUAACAUAUUUUGUGGGAAGGGGCAGAUGGGAUCUAUUGGUUUGUCCUAACUGCAAAUUUAGAACAAAUGUAUUAAUUGGUAACAUUCGCACGCCGUGCAAAAGGCAAAUUUGCUAAGAUGUUUUUUGAUGGGCAAAUAAUUUGCAAAAGUGACCCUUGCUGUAGUAGUAAAUAUAAUGAAUAUACACUCUUUGCAUCAUGAGCAAAUGCAAGCAAACAUGACGAAAACAUAACAUUUGCUAUCGUGUUUACCGGUGCGUGAAUAUAACUGCAAAUCCGUUCUUUGCACUGUUUUUGAAAUAUUAGCAAAUAUGAAGUAAAAUCGGCCUUCACUUGGUUUGUCUUGGUGCCAAAUAUAAAGCAAAUUCAAUAUUUGAAUUUGAGUAAAGGCGAGUAAAUAUGGACUUCACCAUAGUUGCAAAACAUAUUUACUAUAUCUGCAAAUCUGUUUUUUCGUCCAGUGUACACCUCAGGUGCUUUUACCGGAUUUACCUGAGAUGGGGUCUCCCUUAACAAUGGAUACUGAAGGAGUUGAGACUACAGAAGCUACAGAGCCUGUGCCUAGGCCUUGUGGGACACUUGAGACAAUAGGGAGUAUGGGUUCAGAAGUCAUGACCCCACCUGGGAUUGCCUCCCCUGUCUAGAGAUACCCAUCUAGAGACCGGAAACCUCCUGAAAGAUUUUAUUGAACUGUGUAGCCUAGAUAAGUUAUUAUUUAACUUGAGAGAGGGCAGUUGUUAUAUAUUCAGAUUGCUAUUGUCCUGCGCAGUAGCCCCUCCGACUGCUCAUGCGCAGUUAGGAGAGGGCGAACAUGUGCUUUUGAGUUCGGCCAUGUUUUGCGUUCCAGAGUAAAAGUUUAACAGUGUUACAUACUGUCUCUUUUAUUGGAUUAUUAUCUUCAACCUGACUUCCCAAUACACUACAGUAUACAAAUGUAUUCAACUGAGAAUGAGGAAAAAGCAGUGUUUGCGAACGAUGGAAUAGAACAAUUAAAACCAAAAUGUGGAAACAAUUCACAGCUCAAGGUAAUACGCAAUAUUUAGAGACGCUAUCUAAGAUUUUGAAGCAGUAUAACAACACCAAACACUCAAGCAUUAAGAUGACGCCCGUAAAAGCUAGUAAAAAGAAGAAUGAAGGUUUAGUAUAUUUCAGCCUAUAUGGUAACAUGGAGACACCAAAACAAAAGCUUAUAUUUAAAAUAGGUGAUAAGGUUAGGAUAAGUAAAUAUAAACGAAAUGUGUUUGACAAGGGUUACACACCGAAUUGGACUGAGGAAGUUUUUAUAGUUGAUAAAAUACAAUACACCUGAACUACUAAACGCCAAGCAGGAUGUUUUUCGCAUCGAUUAUAAAAAGAAGCAAGCUUUGGUGAAGUGGAAGGAGUACAGUGACGAAUUUAACAGUUGGAUACCAUUCAGGGAUUUAAACGCACUAUGAAAAUAUAAUAUAUACUACAAGUAUAUGACGCAGUAUAUCCCAACCAACCUCACUGUACUCAGGCACACGUAGACUACCUUCGACCGUGUAGCCACCAAGGUGGCGUAAAAGGAUCGGUCGGGGAUGGGGACCCUCGACGCUGUGAAUAAUAUCUCCCCAUUUGUAUGUGCACUAGUCUAGACACCUUCAUAUAUGAUAACACGAGGAUCGACGUCACCAAGAAGUGCGACGAGAUCUGGCUACGGGCUGAAAAGGUCGCCAACAUGUUAGGGUACAAAAAUACUAGAAAGGCUAUAUAAGACCAUGUUGACCCAGAGUAUAGGAUCACUCUGGGAGAGCUCAGACUUAGGGGGAACGAAUCGUUCCCCCAAGCGAUAUACAUGAUUUCGCUUUCAAAUUGUUUUUGUUUACAAUUAAGUUUGCUUUUAGAUUUGAUUUCGCUUUCAGAAUACUUUGUUUAACAAUUCAUUUUGGUUUUAACUUUGAUUUCGCUUUGAAAUUGUUUUGGUUUUACAAUUUAUUUUGCUUUUGAAUGAAAAAAAAAAAUUUGAUUUUUCCUCCAAGAAAAUAAAGAAAUCGAACGGCAGCGAUCGGCCACCAUACACCGAUCUAAUGUAACUAGCUUUUUCAGGAAAAAGUCGAGACAACUUCAAAUUAUAUUUUUCAUUUUCCCGAAGUAUCACAAGAGACUGACUAUUAUCCUGGUUCCCCUGUGCUGUUAUGGGAAGGCAGUAAUUUUUGUAAGUUUUAGAUUUCAUAGAUUUGACAGAGUUUAUUUUUCAUAUACUAUAACCUACAAUAUUUUCACACAAAACCUGUUAUCAUGUAGCACCUCUCUCUUCUGAAAGUUGCUUCUGAAGAAUUGCUAUCCUCUACAUCACUGUUGUCAAUGCCAUCAACUAAACAGGCAUGGCAUAGCCAGGACUCCAUUCUCAUUGCUAUCCUCUACAUCACUGUUGUCCAUGCCAUCAACUAAACAGGCAUGGCAUAGCCAGGACUCCAUUCUCAUUGCUAUCCUCUACAUCACUGUUGUCCAUGCCAUCAACUAAACAGGCAUGAAAUAGCCAGGACUCAGGAGUAGCAGCUUUAUCUGUAAAACCAGCACAGGGAAGGUGCCAAAAACAGAACAUUUGUCACAAACAAUACUGCCUUCAAUCUCUGUGUUAAUUUCCGACUUUUCCAGUAUAACUUUGUUGCAUUUGGGGCAGAAAGUAAUUUGCCUAUUCCCCAUUCCGGAAUUCAAAGGGGGGACUGGGCCGAGACAGGUUUGCAAGGGAUUGUAGGACCGUUUUAGGGGACGCAUUCUUUGUUUUUUUUGUUUGUUUUUCGCGCUCUGGAGAGGACCUCCUUAAAAAAAGCUAAAUGGCCGGAAACCCUUUUGAAAAUAUUUUGCGGCUUGCUGAGGCAGACGUUCCCGGAAAGAAACUUGUGAGGCCGAGAGAACAGUGCACCGUGGCAGUGCUUCGGCGAUGGCUUGCUUGCCGUGGAGCUAAAAUUUUUGAUAGAGUCAAGCACCAUCAGGAAAAUGGACUCGAUGGAGUAAUUACUAAUCCAGAUGGAGAAGUUAACAGUGCUCGGAAAAAAUUGGCACUUGGUCUUCUUGUUGAUGAAGUGGAUCCAGAAGUGAAAGAGAAAUUUCCAUCCGAGGGCUUCUCAACAUUGCAGCUACCAAUAGUCAAAUACAACAGCAUCUGGAAAUAUUUGAUUGAUGAUGUGGAGUUGAAAAAACAACUUUCAACAGAGAAACCCAUUGUAAAGGGGUAUAACUUUUACAAAUCUGGACAUGUUCUCCAAAUUGUCUCUAAAAAGAAACAAGGCUUACAUUAUGUUUAAAGUAAAGUCUUCCCCUCCAUGGUCAAAGACAAAGUUUAUACAGUUAAUAUUAUUCUCAAUAAAAAUGGUGAUAUCAAGAAGGCAUCGUGUGGAUGUCCAGCAGGAGUUGAUGGUAGAUGCAACCAUCUGGCUGCAACCUUCUUUGAGGACAAGACUUCCCUACUUUUUUUACAUCUUUCUCCCCUACACCUUCUAAUGAUUCACAAGUACCUUGCACUUCUAAACCCUGCACAUGGAAUGUACAUGCUAGAAAGUGAAAAAUUGAUCCUCAGCCCAUUCAGUCUAUUGAUUUCCAAAAACAUGAAUAUGGUAAACAAACAAAACACAAAAAAGGCAAAUACAAGAUGUUUGUGCCCCACAUGAUAGGAUCAAAAGGCAUUCUACUAUAAGGUAAAGAAAUUGAAAACCAAAAGGGCAAAAGAAAAGUCUCAGUUUCAUCCUUUCUCAUGAUUUAGCAGUUAAACCUACACAAGAACCUACACAGAAACCUCUUGACCCAGACUUCAUGUGGAGAGUAACUUCACCAGAAAAAAAAAACAUCCUAUGUCUCUAACUGAAAUUGCAGCCAAAGCAGACCGAGCUUAAACCCGCCUGUUUGAUUCUGGCAAAAAAUCUGAUGCACUUGAGAAGAAAACAAGGCUGCAACAUAAAUCAAAAUUGUGGUAUGAGAUAAGAAAAACUAGGAUAACUGCUUCAAAAGAAAAGAGAUGUAUACAAAAAGAAAGCACUAGCCCCUCAAAAGCAGUCUCUGAAGUACUUGUUUAGAAAGGAAAUGUUUAAACUCAGUUGAUGAAAAAGGGAAUUGAGGCAGAACCUAUCAUAAUUGAGAGAUUCACCAAUGAAACAGGGCUUUGUAAUAUAUAUUCUCGAUUUUCUCUAUAUCUGGAAUCUUAAUUAAGAAGUUUUAAAAUUCUAUAAAUUUAAAUAAAAGAAUAUUAUUAUUAUUAUUAUUAUUAUUAUAAUAUUCUAUUAUUGUAAAUACAAAAAGAUAUAGGAAAUGACAGAUUAAUUCAACCCCUUUUUUCAAUUUCUUACUAUUAAAUUGAAUUUUUUCAAUUUAAUAAAUCUAAAUAAAAGAAUAUUCAAAAUAUUCUCUCUUUUAUUGUUAAUACAAAACUUCAAGCCAAUGAAAAUGACAGAUUAAUUAAUUUCAAUUUCUCACUAUUGAAUUGAAUGUUUAAAAUUCAAUAAAUCUAAAUAAAAGAAAUCCAUGUAAGUCAUCUGUUUGUGUAGAAGUAUUGGAAGAAUAGGAGACAUUUGUUUGGGAAGAGGUAGUUGAAGUGCAGUAAGAAGACGAAGCCAGCGAAGAAGUGCUGUCGAAAUCAAGUCGGCGCUUUUUUUUAAGUUGUUGUUUUGGUUAAUGUUUCUUUCGCUUUUCUCAUAGGCGUCCAAGGAAAUAGAGUGGGGACCUGUGUCUUACACACUGGUCGCCUCCUGGGAAGUGAUCUCCACACAUCCUGGAGUUUUAUGUAGGUGUGAAAGUGCCAUUUUCACCGUCCUCAAAAGCUUUGUUGUACUCAUUGAGUAUCGAGAGAUUAUUUGGUAAAGUGUAGAAUUUUAGGCCUGUCAACUCUAUUCUCCAGUUAUUAAAACAUCCAGGGACACAACAAGUUACUCUCAUGCUGGUAAAGCAAAGAACAUCUAAGAAAAAAAGGGAAAUUAAAAGGAAACUAAACUAAAAGUGGCCGCCAUCUCCCAAACGAAAAAUUAAACAAACUCGGCCCAAUCCCCCACUUAAAUUCCGAAAUGGGGAAUAGCCUAGCACACAGGGUAAAACAUAGGUCUUGUAAAACAAAGUGAUUCUGUUGACAACAGUAGAGCAAAAUUGUUCAUUGAAAUGGUUCUUCUCAUGCAAAGGCUUUAGCCAUCAGUCCAGACAAUAAACUAACAAUGGCUAACACCAGUAACCCACAUUUGAGCUUGUACUUGUGUAUAAUAUUUACGAGUCUUUUUAAGCCUAGGUUUGCCACAAAGCUCUUCCAAAAAGUCAAACUUGGUGUAAAUGUUAUUUUGAUGUAUGUAAUCUUUCCUUACAGCAUAAGGACAUUUCACUUCCACUGUAGCAGGAGAGCACCAUUAACAAGCAAGCACUCCAUCUGGAGACCCUCAAUCUGUUACAAAACUAAUGGGACACUUUCCCUUCCCCUUCCUCGAUGUUGGAAGGCAAAUGAUCACCUUGUUACUUCUUGUGUUUUGAGCUGAAAAAUCGCCCCUAACCAAUAUUAAUCGGGGGGAGAGGGUUGGCGGUUGUUCGUAUGGGAAGUGUCCCACUUACUUUUGUUGUGGAUUGUCUGGGCAAGUGAUUGACAGGUCCUGGAACAGGAAACACUAUUGUUGAUAACGCAACGACGAUACAACUAUGCGAAUGUCAAAAUCAAACACAUACGCAGGAUCGCGCGUAAAAAUGGACAGAAGCUUCAGAGACGACUAUUUUUCAUUGUAAACAAUCUCAUCUCUUUUUUUUUAUAUAAGAAAUACCGCCUAUGAAGAAUUUAUUACGUGAGAGAUUUUCACUACAAAUUUAGCCGCGCAAGCUUGUCUCGGGGAGAAGGUCAAUUCAAUAAAUUCAUCUGUUUUACAACAGUUUUGCUAAAUAUCUGACACUUUGGCACACAGUUAUGCUUGAAGAGUUCAAGCAAAGUGUAUGCAAUGCUUUUUCUGUGGAGCAUUCGCUAAAACCAACGGCUACAGACUACGUCUUCUGUUCUUGCUUAUGUUGCUCAACGAUUAACACCAACAGUUAACCAUUUUAAAAUUGUUUAAAAAAUGCCUUACGAAAGAAAUUCGAACUCUAAAAUAAUACAGUAACAACUUGAGAUUCAAGCUCAUAAAUUGACACUAGUUUUGUUUGAAUGAGGGUUUGCAUUUUGGAGAGAGGCAUUUAUAACCUUACUAAUUUUCCACAACUAUUUGAAUAAAAUAAAUGAACACAUUAGAUAGUAUGCAAGAUGCAGACAAUAUAACCUCAAGCAAAAAAAUAUAUAGGUUAUAGGGUUUGCAUUUGGGGUUUUUAUUUUCGAUGAGAAAAUUAUCUUGUGACGAUAUUAAUUAUCACGAUAAUGUUGAAAAAGUUGCUGUAUCUUCGAAAAGACUAAAUACACAGAAUAUCAAAACAAGAAAGGUCUUCUUUAGCAAUAUCUGACAGGAUGAUAUUUGUGUUUAGUCCAGCGGUAUCGCGCGCCGAUAAACCGACUACGCAGGAGAAAUUCGCCCAAGAGUUGUUGCGUCAUUGGAGUUGGACUAUUCUCUGGUUGUUUCUAGCGUUUGUACUGCCCAUGUUUAUCGCCGAAGGUUACAUAAAGCUCAAGAAUACCCCUUCCAUUCGUAAGGGAGUUCUCCUAGGAGCUAAAAACGAACAGACCAGCAUUAAUCUGGUCGCUACCCCUUCCAUUCGUGAGGGAGCUGUCCUAGCAGCAAGAAACGAAGAGACCAGCAUUAAUCUGGUCGCCACCCCUUCCAUUCGUGAGGGAGCUGUCCCAGCAGCGGCUGUUCGAGUAGCAGCAAAUAACGAAGAGACCAACAAGGUUAAAAUGGUCGCCACCCCUUCCCAUUCGUGAGGGAGCUGUCCCAGCGGCGGCUGUUCGAGUAACGAAGAGAGCAAAAGUGUGCUCGAUCUGCCAAUGCUUCACAGUAAUGGAAAAAUGACUUUUUUAUUUGCUAUUAUUAUUGUAUUGAUUAUUUCAAUCUAUGCAACAAACCGAAACUUGAUUGUGAUGUUAAUAACUCACAAAAAAUUGUUAAGAAUAAAGUGCAUAUUGUUAUAAACAGUCAAGUUGAUUGUUACAAGAACUAUAGUUUAUAUUUUAUUCUCUUUUAUGUCAAUUUGUCUAUCAAGCUAUUAAGUUUUCUGUUUUUCAUUCUUAUUUUUAAACUGUUUCAUAUAUGCCUUGUUUUUUUAUUCAGACCUAAGCUUUGAUGCAGAUGAGUGUUUCUCAGACGUAUUUCAAAACUUACUAUUACAAGGACUACAGAAAGGAUAACCAUGAGACUAUUGAUGCUCAACCAGAAGUGCUCACUGAUGAAAUUAUUGACAUGCAGCAUGCAGAUAGCAAUAACACUGAACUUCAAGCAAAAAUAAAAUUGAUAGAUACAACAGAAACAAUGAAAUGUAGGAAGGUUAAGCUAUAGUUAAAGCUAGGUAUCAUACUCCAAAUAAAACAAAGGAACCAGAAAAAUACUUUCACCAUUUGUUAUAGCUAUACUAUCCAUGGAGAGAUGAAACAAGUUUGAUAGCGUAUGAUCACACUUAUGCAUCCAAGUUUCAUGAGCCUAAUGUACAAGACAUUGUAGAGCGCAAUAGGUCAUUGUUUGAACCAGAUGCAGAUGCUGUUGCAGAGGCUCUUGAAGCAUUACGGAAUAAUCAGAGUAACAUUGCUCAUUCAUUUGAUCCAAUAAAUGACCGUGGUGUAGAAAUACAAUGAAAAAUGCAAAUAGCUUAAAACCACAUGAAGUUGACCCAAUCUAUCUGUUUAUAACUGGAGGAGCUGGUGCAGGUAAAAGUCCUUUAAGAGAACAGUGGGUAAUUCAGGAUUAGUUAAACCAUGCCUGAAUGUUUUUAUUGCUGUAUGAUAAAUAGUUUUAACUCUCUUAACUGCUCCCACAGUGGUCUCUGCUAUAAGUAUAAAUGGUACAACAAUAAAUACAGCAAUAAAUACAGUCAAUUCUAAGAAAACUAGGAGACACAGUACCAGCAAUGUCAGAUCAAAAAAGAACACAAUUAAGACUGUCUCUAUCAGAACUGAAACUAAUAAUUAUAGAUGAGAUAUCAAUGGUUUCAAAUACCACCUUAUUGCCAUCCAUCAAAGAUUAAAAGGCAAUUUUGGCAUAUCAAAUGCAAAGGUAUUUGCUGGAAUAAGUAUCAUAGCUGUUGGUGAUCUAUAUCAACUACCACCAAUACGUAGACAACCAGUUUUUGAUUACAAAAAUGAUGUCCACAAAAUGUCAAUCAAGAAGUGAUUAACAAAGUGUUAUCAAGGAGUAGAUCAGAAACAGGUGGUAUUGAUUCACAAAUUAUUAUUAAAGAAACAGCAAGAGUCAUGCUAAAAACAAAUAUUGAUAUUGCUGAUAGACUGAUUAAUGGUCAAACGGGAACUGUUAUAAAGGUUGAUGUUAAUAAUAAUACCAACAAACUAUGAUCUAUAUCAAAUUUGAUGAUAAUGAAGCUGGAAAGAAUGCUAUAAACAAAUGCUUGAAUCCUUUUGUUAGAGAAAACCAAGUAGUGCCUAUUCAGCCAGUCCUAACAGCGAUCAAAGUCAGACCAGGAAAAGCCUCCUCUCCAGAAAUACAAAGAAUACAAUUUCCUGUCACACUUGCAUGGGCAUGUUCCUUACACAAAGUACAAGGCUUAACUUUGCAAAAUGUUGUUGUCAGCUUUGACUUGAAUAAAACAAAGAUCAUUUAACCAUGGACAGAUCUACGUUGCUUUGAGCCGUUGCACAUCAUUACAAGGUCUUCACAUUCUUGGUAAAAUAGAAGGAAAACAUAUUAAAGCUAACCCUAAAGUUCACACUGAAUAUGAUAGAUAUCACAAAUAUCAUUAUCAUCAACAAACACCAUGUCUACAGAUGUUAAUAAUAUUACCAUUUCCUUAUUGAAUGUGAGAUCUCUCAGAAAACACAGUAUUGAUAUCAAAUAUGACCAAAAAAUCUGAAUAGUGAUAUUAUAGCCCUUACAGAAACACAACUCCUGUCUUGUGACAAUGAUACUGAAAUAAGAAAUAAUUUACAUCCAUUUAUGCUACACAGAAAAGACCAUGCAUUUGUUAAAUACUCCAUUUUAGCAGUAGGCAUCCAUCAAACUAUUCAAAUUGCAGAUCAAGACUAUUUUCCUACAAUAAAUGGAUUAAAAUUAACUGUGAUGAACAA